GUGAGAGGGUGACGGGCGUCUUUAUGUGGACUGAAAGGCUAUUUUCCAAGUAUUGCAGAAGUUAAAUACUCACCGCCGCAUAUAAGGCUCCAGGGCUGUGAGGCUGCCAGCAGACAUGCAGCCGACCCUUGCCAUCGUGCUGGUGCUGCUCGGGUGCUGCUCCAACGUUGUCUUCUUGGAGCUGUUGACCACUGCACAUCCUGGCUCAGGAAACAUCAUAACGUUCUCGCAGUUUUUGUUCAUCGCUGUACACGGAUUUGUGUUCACCAUGAAGUGUGGAACCGUGCGCUCGGCGAUACCAGUAAGCAAGUACUUCCUCAUGGUGGGACUCUUCUUUGUCGUCAGCGUCAUCAACAAUUAUGCCCUGAACUUUGGCAUCCCUAUGCCAUUGCAUAUGAUCUUUAAAGCGG